GCUGAAACAACAAAAUGUCAGCUUCCCAAGCUGAAGGUCGCGGGUUCGAAUCCCGUUUCCCGCU
rnacentral:tRNA from 1 species